GACGAACGCUGGCGGCGUGCUUAACACAUGCAAGUCGAACGGUAAGGCUCCAGCUUGCUGGGGUACACGAGUGGCGAACGGGUGAGUAACACGUGGGUGACCUGCCCUGCACUUCGGGAUAAGCCUGGGAAACUGGGUCUAAUACCGGAUAGGACCGCACCGUGAGGGUGUGGUGGAAAGUUUUUUCGGUGUGGGAUGGGCCCGCGGCCUAUCAGCUUGUUGGUGGGGUAAUGGCCUACCAAGGCGGCGACGGGUAGCCGGCCUGAGAGGGUGGACGGCCACAUUGGGACUGAGACACGGCCCAGACUCCUACGGGAGGCAGCAGUGGGGAAUAUUGCACAAUGGGCGGAAGCCUGAUGCAGCGACGCCGCGUGGGGGAUGACGGCCUUCGGGUUGUAAACUCCUUUCACCAUCGACGAAGGGUUUCUGACGGUAGAUGGAGAAGAAGCACCGGCUAACUACGUGCCAGCAGCCGCGGUAAUACGUAGGGUGCGAGCGUUGUCCGGAAUUACUGGGCGUAAAGAGCUCGUAGGUGGUUUGUCGCGUCGUCUGUGAAAUUCCGGGGCUUAACUCCGGGCGUGCAGGCGAUACGGGCAUAACUUGAGUACUGUAGGGGAGACUGGAAUUCCUGGUGUAGCGGUGAAAUGCGCAGAUAUCAGGAGGAACACCGGUGGCGAAGGCGGGUCUCUGGGCAGUAACUGACGCUGAGGAGCGAAAGCAUGGGGAGCGAACAGGAUUAGAUACCCUGGUAGUCCAUGCCGUAAACGGUGGGCGCUAGGUGUGGGUUUCCUUCCACGGGAUCCGUGCCGUAGCUAACGCAUUAAGCGCCCCGCCUGGGGAGUACGGCCGCAAGGCUAAAACUCAAAGGAAUUGACGGGGGCCCGCACAAGCGGCGGAGCAUGUGGAUUAAUUCGAUGCAACGCGAAGAACCUUACCUGGGCUUGACAUAUACAGGAUCGCGCCAGAGAUGGUGUUUCCCUUGUGGCUUGUAUGCAGGUGGUGCAUGGUUGUCGUCAGCUCGUGUCGUGAGAUGUUGGGUUAAGUCCCGCAACGAGCGCAACCCUUGUCUUAUGUUGCCAGCACGUUGUGGUGGGGACUCGUAAGAAACUGCCGGGGUUAACUCGGAGGAAGGUGGGGAUGACGUCAAAUCAUCAUGCCCCUUAUGUCCAGGGCUUCACACAUGCUACAAUGGUCGGUACAGUGGGUUGCCAGUCCGUGAGGGCGAGCUAAUCCCGCAAAGCCGGUCUCAGUUCGGAUCGGGGUCUGCAACUCGACCCCGUGAAGUCGGAGUCGCUAGUAAUCGCAGAUCAGCAACGCUGCGGUGAAUACGUUCCCGGGCCU
rnacentral:rRNA from 1 species